ACACAAUUAGCUGUACUCUCUCACUGUGUUUCUCUCUUAAUCGAUUUGAAGGAUAGCAUACCAUGAGGAGGAUGACUCUCAUGGGAAGAAAUGGCCCUCAAAGAUGCCCAAACAAUGCAUUGGUGACAAUUGUGAGAUAUGUGAGAUAUCGCGACUGCCGAAGGAAUCACGUGUGUCAUCUUGGAGGACAUACUGUGGAUGGCUGCACGGAGUUCAUACCAAGCGGAUCAGAAGGUACUGAUACAGCUCUGAUUUGUGCUGCAUGUGGCUGCCACAGAAACUUUCACCGAAGGGAGGAAUAUUCUCAAUUAGUUUGUGGAUGCACUUCUCACCCUUCUACCAGUGGUGCUUGAAGACUAUAUGAUCGGGACAAUCAUAUGUAAACCCCCUUCGAUAUGCAUUUUCUAUGUACCUGCUUUAAUUUGCGUGUUUUGUUGUUAUGGUUUUGGAUUUUAGUUUAAUGAUAUGAUGUGAUGGACUGGUAUUCUGGCAAUCUAAUGUAAUAUAUGGUUGCAUGAAUGAUGUUUGAGAAAAUCAAAGUUAUUAAGAUGUUUAGUUUGGUGAUCGGAAGUGCAAAGUCGAUGAAUUAUAAUUAA